UAAACGAACGUAGAUUACUUUUAGCGUUUUUAUAAUUCAACGCGUGAAGAUAUCUGAUGAUCUCAUUUGUUCGCAUCAGGGAGGAAAGAUCGACGAUUUUGAUUCAGAUUCGAUAUAGGAAUUGCUCUUCGUUGGUAUAAAUCUUAUAUGUUAGCGACAAUGCAAUUUCUGAAAGAGAUUAAUCGUUAAUUAAUGUAACACUACGUAUUCUUUUUUCAGUUAAUCAUUUGCGGAAUAAAAAUGGUUACAAUAAAUGUCUAAGGUGAGAGAAAACAUUGCGUAAGUGCAUGUUAAUUAUAAAAUACGAUGUCUUCGAUAUUUCAAAUUUAAAAUACUUCAGCGUGCCAAAUUUCAAAUGUUUAGAACAUAUAAUAUUUCUCAAUAAGAUCGCUAGAAAUAUCGAAGAGCUAUAAACUUAAAUAGAAGACUACAAUUUCUUAGAAAUACAGUUUUCACGGAAAUUUGUAAAUAUAACGGUAUGUGUAUAAUCGAUCUCAUAAACAACAAGGAGUUUCUAAAUUUGAAAUACAUAAAAAAAAAACAGCGCCGUAAAAUAUAUGUUUUCACUAAGAUUAUAUUUACGAUAAAAUUUCCCUGUUUGAUAUCUGGGAUAGUAUCUAACAAGUACAAGGAUAAUAAUGCCACAAAUUUAGGGCUUGUAAUGCUAGCAGACAGUAAACGCGCUAAAAAUAAGAAACUUAUGGACGAUAAUUUGCAAAGGUGUUUGUUGGCAUCCUGUCGCUUUCUAAAUAUAGCGGGCACAAUUUUUCGCGGUCGAUUUCUUCAUCAUUCUUGUUAAACCAGAUUUUAUAAUUAUAUAUAUUUACAACUACUAUUUAAAACUGGCAGUAAAAAAUAGCUUUCAUUAACACUUUGUACCAUACUACUCGGUAUUAAUACAUAAUGCCAUCUAGUGCCAAGUUGAAAAUCACAUUAGCGUAUUACGUUUUAUAUUUAAUAAAAUUUAAAAUUUAUAAACUUAUUUUUUCGUAAUUUUGCUCUAUACAAUACAUCUGCCAAUGUCCAUAAAUAUAUUUUUAAAUAUAAUACCUAUAUAUAAUAUUAUAUUAGGUAUAUAGAUAUAUAUAUCCAGAUAGAAACGUUAAACAUCAAUGAAAUGUUUCAUUGAAUAAAAUACGAAAGCUCGAAUUUGGUGCUCGUAUUUGAAAAGCCCGUACUCGUCCCGUUUUCGAAUAGCGAAUGGUAUUACGUGUAUUACGAUUGGUUGCGGCAUUCCUCGGAUCAGCCAAUCGAGGACUGCGACACAAACAGGAGCAUCGGCUUUUCUUUUUGUUGACGCAAUGGUGCCGCUAAAUUUAGAAACGCGCGCACUUCAUACUCGGCCUGGAUCAUCCGAACGCUUUCGCAUGUAUUCCUAUUUCAUUCUCGGCAAGAGCGAUCGAAGGUCAUCGGAAAUAAAUUUGGAAUACGUGAUCUAAAUCAACGGUCGUCCAUUAAUGCCUGAUUCUAGCGACCGAGUUAAUUUCCUCGUAAUUACAUAGUUUGGUUAAUCACCGAACUAUUAUCUGCGUAGUAAUCGAAUGGAACGUCGAAACUUAAUGAAUGCUUCUGCACUUUGUCGAACCGUUUCCAUUAAGAAUUACGAUCAGGUAUUUGGAGAAUUAUUUAUAUCUAUAGUGGCUACGAAAAGUAUUUGUACGUAUUUUUAUUUUAGCAUUUUUACGUUUUAUUUUCAGAGUACCAAAUUUUUGUCGUCGUAUCAAAGUAUUACUAAAUGAUACAAAACUUAUUGUUAUACCUUAGUAAUUUUCUAUAGUUGGAUCUAUUUAAUUGAUAUAAAAAAGAUAAGUGCUAUAAUAAUUACUAAAUAGAAUAAUAUGUAAAUACUUUUUUUGCUCUCUGUGUAUAUUAGGGACUAAUCCUGUAUUUAACAAAUUUUGGGAUAUACAUUUAGAUAUGAGAAACCUAUAUAAUUGUGUAAAGACGUGAAAAUUCGCAGAUAAAUUAGCUACUGUGUUAUUUGAUUACUAUAAGUUGUUUUAGAAACAAAUGUUUUAUUGCUGUGAUUCUUUUCAUAAUUUGAAGAAGUUGGCACCACUUAUCUUACAAUAUAAUUGUUACCAACCUUAAAGUACGACUCUGUACUUAAUGCAAUAAAUUAAUACAAAAAAUUGAAAAUUUAUAAUAUAAUUCUUUUUUCUACCGAAGAAAAGAAUUAUAUAAUGCAUUUUAGUAUCGAAUAAUAAUUUGUGUUAUUUGAAAAUUUAUGCGUAUGAAAAUUUGUUUCACAGAAGUUUGCAAGGCUGAGUUUGAAACGAUGCUUGACCCUUCGACCACAAAAGUGAAGUGCAAUUUUUCGUAGUGUGUUAAUUGAGUUUUUAACGGUCAAAUGGCACAAACCAUACGCAAAAUCAGUAAUAUCUACCAAAGGUGUCUCUGCAGGUUGCAUCAAUGGAGCCAGUGUUGCAGUCUACAGAAUGCAAUCAGGAAAGGAUAUGUGGCGGUUUCGCGUGAUCCGAUGAAGGGUAAACGAGAAUGUAACAGAGGCAAAGGAAACUUUCGCACAUCGGCCUUCAAUGUUGAAACUUUAACUAUCAACCGAAGACAGCCAGCUCGACACGUUGCGGUGAAACGCUAGAAACCAUUUAACCCAGAAAAUAUCAAACGUCUGGACACAUCAAAAGUUUCCUCUAACGCUGCUCGAGUUGAGGUUCAGAGAAGCUCUUUAGAAAUCAAUAACGUUAGCUCGAUGGAGAUACCAAACUUUAGUAUCUUCUUUUGGUAUUUUCAACGAAUAAUUAAUUGAGAAAUCUCACUGCGCUUGAAAUUAUUUGUAUCGUUGAUAUAUUUUCUUUUGUUAGAGUAUUUGUUUAGCACUUUUAAUUUUUUAACGAGAUCUCAGUGAAAUUUAUAUGAAAAAUAGUGCAGAAUAUGAUGUACCAUACAGAAACCUGUAUAGAUACGUAGGAACGUAGUAAGUAGAUUCAGAGUACAAUUGGUCAGACAAACGAAAUCUGCUACUAAAGUAAACCAUUUCACGUAAAAUAAUUACAAGUACGAGGCAAGUGAUAAACACGAAGUAAAUUAGAGUUUGCUUAUAAAUAUUGGACCUGUCUAUGAAACAAAUCGAACAAAUAGAUAAAUGUGUUUAAUUCUCUUUUUUUUCAAGACCACGCUCUCUAAUAUUAAGAAAAAAAUAAACAACAUUUCAAGGAUGAUAGUAACGCAGUAUAUUUAACCCUCAACUUGUAGAAUGAAAUUUGUGCUUGUUAUAUAAUCGGCAUAUUGAAAAAAAAAAUUUUCGGAAUUAAGAAAUUCAGACCCGGAUACUUAUUUAUAUGUUUUGCGAUAUGAAAUGUAUGUUAUUCUCUGAUGGAGAAAAUACUUGUAUAGCAUAUAAACUUUACAAGGUAUAAGGUUGAUUAUUAUAGUCUUCUAACAUGUUUAAAAAUUUAUUCGAUUUAAAUCGCGCGAAUUUAAUAAGUAUAAGGAGAACAGAGAAACGUGGAUGACGGACGUCGAUUAUAAUUGUUUUGAUUCAGAAUCGAAGUUUUGUCACGACUAGAAAGUCGCCUUUUUGCGGCGUUAUAUUUAGCCCGAUGUGGCCGAAAGUAGUGACGCCUUAAUUCGGUCAGACGCGUAGUUUAGCUCGUCAAGCGGCGCGAGGCGCCUCUUGGCACUUGUGACGUAUUCUAUGAUAUUAAGAGAAUGAGCAAUCUGGAGCGUGUCACUUUAGCCGUUUAUAAUUUUAUACGCGUUACAUCGUCCCAAAAAUUUACGACAGUGUAUCGUUACUCGCAACUUCUUUUUCUAACGUCAGCACUGAACAAAUUCUUACAAUCCUGCGCAUUUUCUACGUCAUUAUUCGUUUAAAUAACUUGCUUUCCCACUUCCAAAUCCUAAUAUUUCCAUUAGCCAUAAUCUUCUAUGAGAACGAGGUAUAGUCCAGCAAAAGGUUCCUAAGCUACUCCGAGUAUUCGACUAUUUCCUAAAAACAAUCGUUGAAAACGUUUCAAAAGCUAUCAGAGAGCAUGGUGAUUUUUAUUAACGCGUUAACUUCUGUCUGUGAGGAAUAGACGACACUCGGAAAGUGUGUUUCGCGUGCUUCGACACUGUCCUAGAAUUUGUAGAAAUAGAAUUAUGCUAAGUAGUUGUACUAUAGUACCAAAUAAGGUUGAAAAAUAUGGUUUGACGACCAGCUCUCAUUCCCACAUUUUGUAGAAAGCUAAUUAUCCUUAAUUUAUCAGACAAUCGACAGUGUCGGUUUAUGAAUAUCAAUACUGCGUAUAGUAAAAUAGUAAAAUCCUAUUAAUCUCAACUUCAUUUAAUAGAACGAAAUUUCGGUCGGUAUAAUGAACGUCUGUUAUUCGAAUGGACAAUAUUAAUGAUAUUUUACGAAUAUGGAAUUCUAAUUAUACGAUCUGUUUGUUUCUGCAAGGAUCUAAUUUGCUAAAUUUUGCACUUUUACCGCAACGUAUAUAUAUUAAAAAAAAAAAGUGUUUCGCGUUUUAACCGCAGAAAGGGAGCGGCUAUAACAGACACGUCGGACUUGGCGGCAUCCCGCGGAUAUUUUUAUCCCGACAGGCACGCCGCGGCGCGUUACAUAACUGCCAAACAAAUCGCUGCCAAUUAUUAUAAACAAUUCUCUCGGUUGUAUGAUUGGCACACGCGUACGAGAAACCUCGAGCAUCGAUGUCUGUGCCUUGUACGUUUCCACUACAUUUUGAGAAGCACGCGGCAGCAAACGAUCGGUCUGCCUCGAAUUGGUAUGCGAUAGCAGAGAAACCGAGACGCGAGUCGCGCCAACUAUUGCAAACGUGCUUCCACGAAAUUAGAACUUUGAUUCGGGACGGUGGUGUUCGCGACUGUAUCUUUACGACUCGUUCGAUCGAUCGAUCGAUCGUUGAACGCACUGAGUCAUUCAUUUUAUCUAAAUCUAUCGAACCGAUUUAUAGAACUUUACAAUGAAACAUUUGUUAUAAUAUCACUGUUUUUCUUUCUUCGGAACUUGCGAUAUAGUAUUACUCAUAUAUCGUAGUGUUCCUUUUUUGUUUUUUUAAAGAUCGACAAUGAAAUAUAUUUUACAUAUUUUGUUUUGUUAUUAAACCACACGCAAACAUACAAUGUUAUAAUAUCGUAGAUACGAUUAUUACUACAUAUAGAUUGGUACAAACAUCGUCAUGCAUGUAUUAUCAUUGUACAAAACAUCAGGCGUAAACAGACAGAUAGAUCAUCUUUUCUAUUAUCAACGAGACUUCAACGAUCAUUCGUAAAAAUGUAAUUUCACCAAUUUCUUUGUUCUCUUACUAGAAAUUGAAAUUAGACAUUUAUCGACAUAAUAAAAUGGUCCCAUGGUUCGAUCGUUUCUGCCUCGCAAGAUUAAUUGCCACUGUGUACAUCAAUUUGUCGACAGUGUAAUUAGUUUCUCUCGUUCUGGUGGGUUAGUAACAUCAAUUAGUCUUAAAAAGCAC